ACGGCGAGUGAAGCGGCAACAGCUCAAAUUUGAAAUCUGGCCUUCGGGUCCGAGUUGUAAUUUGCAGAGGAUGCUUUGGGCGCGGCGCCUUCCGAGUUCCCUGGAACGGGACGCCAUAGAGGGUGAGAGCCCCGUCUGGUUGGAUGCCUAGCCUGUGUAAAGCUCCUUCGACGAGUCGAGUAGUUUGGGAAUGCUGCUCUAAAUGGGAGGUACAUGCCUUCUAAAGCUAAAUACCGGCCAGAGACCGAUAGCGCACAAGUAGAGUGAUCGAAAGAUGAAAAGCACUUUGAAAAGAGGGUUAAAUAGUACGUGAAAUUGUUGAAAGGGAAGCGCUUGUGACCAGACUUGGGCGUGGUGAAUCAUCCGGCGUUCUCGCCGGUGCACUUUGCCUGUCCAGGCCAGCAUCAGCUCGUCGCGGGGGACAAAGGCUUCGGGAAUGUGGCUCCCUCGGGAGUGUUAUAGACCGUUGCGUAAUACCCUGCGGUGGGCUGAGGUUCGCGCAUCUGCUCGGAUGCUGGCGUAAUGGUCAUCAGCGACCCGUCUUGAAACACGGACCAAGGAGUCGUCUUCGUAUGCGAGUGUUCGGGUGUCAAACCCCUACGCGUAAUGAAAGUGAACGCAGGUGAGAGCUUCGGCGCAUCAUCGACCGAUCCUGAUGUUCUCGGAUGGAUUUGAGUAAGAGCAUACGGGGCCGGACCCGAAAGAAGGUGAACUAUGCCUGUAUAGGGUGAAGCCAGAGGAAACUCUGGUGGAGGCUCGCAGCGGUUCUGACGUGCAAAUCGAUCGUCAAAUAUGGGCAUGGGGGCGAAAGACUAAUCGAACCUUCUAGUAGCUGGUUUCCGCCGAAG
rnacentral:rRNA from 1 species